CCUGGUUGAUCCUACCAGUAGUCAUAUGCUUGUCUCAAAGAUUAAUCCAUUCAUGUGCAAGUAUGAAAAAAUUCAAACUGUAAAACUGCAAAUGGCUCAUUAAAUUGUUAUAGUUUGUUUUAUUGUAUUUGCUACUCGGAUAACCAUAGUAAUUCUAGAGCUAAUACGUGAAAGAAACCUCGACUUCCAGAAGGGAUGCAUUUAUUAGAUAAAAGGUCGACACGGGCUUUUGCCCGUUGCUCUGAUGAUUCAUGAUAACUCGACUGAUCGCACGACCUUUGUGCCGACGACGCAUAAUUCAAAUUUCUACCCUAUCAACUUUUGAUGGUAGGAUAGUGGCCUACUAUGGUGGUGACGAAUGACAGAGAAUUAGGGUUCUAUUCUAAAGAAGGAGCCUAAGAAACAGCUACCACAUCCAAGGAAGGCAGUAGGUGCGCAAAUUACCCUAUCCUGACAGUGGGAGGUAGUGACAAUAAAUAACAAUAUCAGGCUUUAUAUGUUUGGUAAUUGGAAUGAGUACAAUUUAAAUCCCUUAAUAAGGAUUCAUUGAAGGGUAAGUCUGGUGCCAACAGCCGCGAUAAUUCUAGCCCCAAUAGCGUAUAUUUAAGUUGUUAUAGUUAAAAAGCUCGUACUUGGAUGUAGGGGUGGGUCGGCCAGUCCACCUCACAGUGAGCAUCGAUCUGCUUGUCCCUACUAUCGACGAGGCACUCCUGGCCUUAAUUGGUCGGAUCAUUCCUCUGACACUGUUACUUUGAAGAAAUUAGAGUGCUCAAAGCAGGCCUACGCUUGUACACAUUAGCAUGGGAUAACAUCAUAGGAUUUCGAUCCUAUUGUGUUGGCCUUCAGGAUCGGAGUAAUGAUUAAGAGGUACAGUCGAGGGCAUUCAUAUUUCAUAGUCAGAGGUGAAAUUCUUGGAUUUAUGAAAGAUGAAUAACUGCGAAAGCAUUUUCCAAGGAUGUUUUCAUUAAUCAAGAAUGAAAGUUGAGGGCUCGAAGAUAAUCAGAUAUUGUCCUAGUCUUAACCAUAAACGAUGCCGACUAGGGUCUGGUGGAUGCUGCUUUUAAGACUCCACCGAUAUCUUGUUUGAAAUCAAAGUCUUUGGGUUCUGGGCGGAGUAUGGUCGUCAGGCUGAAACUUAAAGGAAUUGAUGGAAGGGCACCAUCAGGAGAGGAGCCUACAGCUUAAUUUGACUCACACAGGGAAACUUACCAGGUCAAGACAUAGUAAGGAUUAACAGACUGAGAGCUCUUUCAUGAUUCUAUAGGUUGUGGUGCAUGGUCGUUAUUAGUUGGUGGAGCGAUUUGUCUAGUUAAUUCCGUUAACGAACGAGACCUCAACCUGCUAACUAGCUACACGGAGGUGAUCCUUCGUGGCUAGCUUUUUAGAGGGACUAUGGCGUUUUAGGCCAAAGAAGUUUGAGGCAAUUACAAGUCUAUGAUGCCCUUAGAUGUUCUGGGCCGCAGCACGCAUGCUACACUGAUUUAUUCAACGAGUCUAUAGCCUUGGCCGAUAGGCUCGAGUAAUCUUUGAAAUUUUAUCGUGAUGGGGAUAGAUCAUUACAAUUAUUAGUCUUCAACGUGGAAUUCCUAGUAAGCGUGAGUCAUUAGCUCGCAUUAACUACAUCCCUGCCCUUUGUAGACACUGUCCUCACUGCUACCGUCCAUUACUACCCGCAACAUCGUGAGAAGUCCACUAAACCUUAUCAUUUAGAGGAAGGAGAAGUCGUAACAAGGUUUCCGUAGGUGAAUAUGCGAAAG
rnacentral:rRNA from 1 species